GUAUAUAUAGUAUAAAAUAAUAUAACAGAUUUAGGUUCUGUAGAUAGAUUGUAUAUU
rnacentral:tRNA from 1 species